rnacentral:rRNA from 1 species
AGAGCGAACGCUGGCGGCAGGCUUAACACAUGCAAGUCGAGCGGGCGUAGCAAUACGUCAGCGGCAGACGGGUGAGUAACGCGUGGGAACGUACCUUUUGGUUCGGAACAACACAGGGGAACUUGUGCUAAUACCGGAUAAGCCCUUACGGGGAAAGAUUUAUCGCCGAAAGAUCGGCCCGCGUCUGAUUAGCUAGUUGGUGAGGUAAUGGCUCACCAAGGCGACGAUCAGUAGCUGGUCUGAGAGGAUGAUCAGCCACAUUGGGACUGAGACACGGCCCAAACUCCUACGGGAGGCAGCAGUGGGAAUAUUGGACAAUGGGCGCAAGCCUGAUCCAGCCAUGCCGCGUGAGUGAUGAAGGCCCUAGGGUUGUAAAGCUCUUUUGUGCGGGAAGAUAAUGACGGUACCGCAAGAAUAAGCCCCGGCUAACUUCGCGCCAGCAGCCGC